UGAAGAUGGCACCAACAGGAAAUGAGGGUGGCAUUGUCACCUCCAAUUUGGGCAGAAAAAAAGCACUGUUGAUGGUAAAAUCCCAUUUUAUUCAUUGGAAUUUCUGUGCAACUACACAUUUUGUUUUGUUUACAUUUUCUUUUAAAAUAACGAGGAGAGAGGAAGCUGAAAUGGAUCAGGAAGAAAAGCAAUUGAUAGCUUAGCAUCCACAUAUCAGUGAGAACAUUCACAAUUGCAAAAUCGUGGACCAAUCCAAAUGCCCAUCAAUCAAUGAGUGGAUAAAGGCACUGUAAUAUAUAUGUACAAUGGGAUACUACUCAGCUAUAAAAAGGAAUGAAUUAACAGCAUUUGCAAUGACUUGGAUGAGAUUGGACAUAUUAUUCUAAAUGAAAUAACUCAGGAAUGGAAAACUGAACGUCAUAGAGCCAGCAUUUAAAGUGUAAAUGAUGGGCUACGGCUUUUUCUCCCUCCUCACUGCUAAGGUGGUAGCCUUUCUUCCACCCUGAACUACUUGCACCAAAAUGAAAGAAGUAACAUGGUCUGAAUUAUGGGUCACCAAUUCUUCUGAAGCUUACUGGUAUCUGCUUUCAACACGCUUAGGUAUCAGAAGAUGGGGACUCACUGAAGUAAAUUUCACUUAUUCCUAGGACAAGAAAUGGGAUCAGAUCUUGGGAGAGAUAGUUUCCUUUGUACUUGAGAAAGCCUGGAUGCCUCUUGGGAUAGUGUAGUGAAUUUUUGUAAUUUUGUGUUGCUUGACAUCAAUUUUAAAUACAAGUUUAACUUUCUCAGACCAGAAGCAGGGCUCAGUCACCCUUGACUCAGUUUCCACUUCUGCACCACACCCAAAAGGCUCAAGCUGGUGGCCAGAGAUAAGAACCUAGAGGCAUCUCUCCUACUUGGAAGACUGGGCUCCCGGCUUUCCCAUGGCUUCCUGUACAAGGAUCAUCAGGCAUUUGCUUGUGAACUUAGUGCCCCACACCCUAUUCCCUUGUUCGUGCUGCCAGUCACCAGGUGUGCUCUCUGCCUGAACUCUUCAUUCCUGCCUCUUCAUGUCUGCAAGACCCAGGGAUAUAGGACUGCUCUGCUGACUCAGUAUACCCUCCUUGCCCCGGUCUGUAAAGAAAAUAUUUGAACUUGUUUCCUGCUGUGGUGAUGUAAUGAAUGUGUACCUUCUAUCUGAAGAACUAGGGGCUACCACAGACUGGGUUUGCUCCAGGCUGCUGGGGAGAAAACAAGGUCAGGCUCCCAGCACCAGAGCAAUGGUCAGACAACCAUAAAUUGGACACGGGUCAGAUGAGAGUCACAAGGGCAUCUGCCAGUAUAAACAAGCUUCCCAUGUGAGGGACUCCUGGGCACAGAUUGGACAACUAGGCAUUAUACCAUCUGUCAAAUAAUAAAGGCAUCUCAUGAAAGGCACAU
ensembl:lncRNA novel transcript